rnacentral:rRNA from 1 species
GAUGAACGCUGGCGGCGUGCCUAAUACAUGCAAGUCGAGCGAACAGACGAGGAGCUUGCUCCUCUGACGUUAGCGGCGGACGGGUGAGUAACACGUGGAUAACCUACCUAUAAGACUGGGAUAACUUCGGGAAACCGGAGCUAAUACCGGAUAAUAUAUUGAACCGCAUGGUUCAAUAGUGAAAGACGGUUUUGCUGUCACUUAUAGAUGGAUCCGCGCCGCAUUAGCUAGUUGGUAAGGUAACGGCUUACCAAGGCAACGAUGCGUAGCCGACCUGAGAGGGUGAUCGGCCACACUGGAACUGACACACGGUCCAGACUCCUACGGGAGGCAGCAGUAGGGAAUCUUCCGCAAUGGGCGAAAGCCUGACGGAGCAACGCCGCGUGAGUGAUGAAGGUCUUCGGAUCGUAAAACUCUGUUAUUAGGGAAGAACAAAUGUGUAAGUAACUAUGCACGUCUUGACGGUACCUAAUCAGAAAGCCACGGCUAACUACGUG